rnacentral:ncRNA from 1 species
ACUGGUCUAAGUCAGAUGGAAUGCUGCGCGAUUCAGAGUAAAAGCCUCGUAUGACCAACCGCAAGCUUACGAUGGACCGGGGAGAGUCGGAUACUUUGAGAGUAGUGUCUUAAGGGGGUGGUAUGUCCCAUCCAAGGCUAAAUAACGUGAGGAGACCGAUAGAUUACAAGUAGUGUGAACGAAAGAUGAAAAGAACUCUAAAACAGAGGGUGAAAAGUUCCUGAACUUGCUUAGGGUUAAGGCUAUUUAUAGUACCCGUCUUGAAACACGGAUUAGGGAGUUUAUCUGUAGUGCGAGUCUUUGCACGUUAACUGUAAAGGCGUAGAGAAAGCAACUGGCGUUUGCAUGGCUACUGAGCAUUAUUGAUAGGACCCGAAAGGUGGUGAACUUUGCCUGCACAGGUUGAAGUCAGGGGAAACUCUGAUGGAGGACCGUACGGGUUAUUGAUGUGCAAAUCAUUUUUCUGAUGUAGGUAAAGGUGCGAAAGACUCAUCGAACCACCUAAUAGCUGGUUUCCUCCGAAGUUUCCCUCAGGAUAGCUGUAAUGCAUUUAGUUAAGGGGAGUAGAGAUAUGGGUAGAGGUGCAGGGAGCCUUCGGGUUCUCAACUUAUUUCCAAACUUCGAACCUCCUUGUUAGGCAUUUACCUAACUGGAAAUGCUUAAAUGAAUUAGCGUUACAAGUGGGCUCUGACCGGUAAGCGGUCAUGGCGAAAUGGGAUGAACCAUACGUCUGAAUAAGGUGCCGAAAUGUACUAUCACUGAUACCAUAAAGGGAGUCCAUGUAUUUAGACAGCAGGUCGGUG